rnacentral:misc_RNA from 1 species
UCCCUAUAAGCUUCGACUUCAUUUGGAAAUGCUUGUUCCAGAUCCUCCAAAAGAUACUUUCUCAUGCUCUUGAAAGCAUCGGUCUUCCCCUUCGUUAUCUGAUUCUUCGCAAUGCAGCUAUUGAGCACAUCCUUCGUGAACUCAUCCGGGUUCUUUCCAUCAUCAAUCAGAUUGAGAACCUCCGCCGGGACCUGAAUAUUACAAUUAUCCGCCAAUUUCUGCAUCGUAUCCAAUUCCCCGACAAGCGUGUUCAGGCGCUGGAGGAGCGGCAUCUGCGCAGCGACGUUGAAGGAGGAGACGGUGAGGUUCAGCUGGUGGAGGAGGCCUAGGGUUUUCUGGAUGGAGUUGAUGACGUGGUUGAGGUUCUGCUUCUGAUCGUCCGCCGGAUCGGCGGUGGCAGGGUUGGAGAUUGGAGUUUGGGCGGGCGUGAGAGAGGCGGUGGCGGCGGCGGCGGCGAAGCCGCCGUUGCCG